ensembl:piRNA 21ur-6762 ncRNA
UUCUUCAAACGCCCAUCAGAU